CCGGCUCCGGUUCACCUCACGCGGUGGCGUGGGGAUCCGGCGGCC
ncrna:Saccharomonospora azurea NA-128 L31-Actinobacteria ribosomal protein leader